rnacentral:rRNA from 1 species
UACAGAGACCUCAAGCGUUAUCCGGAAUCAUUGGGCGUAAAGCGUACCGAUAGGUGGUCAUGGUAGUUUUGGGUAAAAGCCAGAAGCUUAACUUCUGCGUUUGCUCAAAAUACUCCACGACUAGAGGGGCAAAGAGGUCCUUGGAACGAAUGGUGUAGUAGUGAAAUGCGUUGAUAUCAUUCGGAACACCGAAAGCGAAGGCAGAGGACUGGGUGCCACCUGACACUGCUAGGACGAAAGCGUGGGGAGCGAAUGGG